CCUACGGGUGGCAGCAGUGGGGAAUAUUGCACAAUGGGGGAAACCCUGACGCAGCGACGCCGCGUGAGUGAAGAAGUAUCUCGGUACGUAAAGCUCUAUUAUCAGGGAAGAACAUGAGGGUAACUGACUAUGAAGCCCUGGCUAACUACGUGCCAGCAGCCGCGGUAAUACGUAGGGGGCAAGCGUUAUCCGGAUUUACUGGGUGUAAAGGGAGCGUAGACGGUAGCGCAAGUCUGGAGUGAAAUGCCGGGGCCCAACCCCGGAGCUGCUUUGGAAACUGUGCAGCUCGAGUGCAGGAGAGGAAAGCGGAAUUCCUAGUGUAGCGGUGAAAUGCGUAGAUAUUAGGAGGAACACCAGUGGCGAAGGCGACUUACUGGACUGUAACUGACGUUGAGGCUCGAAAGCGUGGGGAGCAAACAGGAUUAGAUACCCUUGUAGUC
rnacentral:rRNA from 1 species